GUGCAGCCGCCGCGGUAAUACCGGCAGCCCGAGUGAUGGCCGAUCUUAUUGGGCCUAAAGCGUUCGUAGCCGGCCGGACAAGUCCGUUGGGAAAUCCACGCGCUCAACGCGUGGGCGUCCAGCGGAAACUAUCCGGCUUGGGGCCGGAAGGCUCGAAGGGUACGUUCGGGGUAGGAGUGAAAUCCCAUAAUCCCGCACGGACCACCGAUGGCGAAAGCACUUCGAGAAAACGGAUCCGACAGUGAGGGACGAAAGCCAGGGUCUUCAACCGGAUUAGAAACCCCGGUAGUCC
rnacentral:rRNA from 1 species